UACGGAGGGUGCGAGCGUUGUCCGGAAUCAUUGGGCGUAAAGGGCGCGUAGGCGGUUGGUUAAGUCAGCUGUGAAAGCCCGGGGCUCAACCCCGGAGGGUCGGCUGAUACUGGUUGACUAGAGUACGGAAGAGGUAGCUGGAAUUCCCGGUGUAGCGGUGAAAUGCGUAGAUAGUCGGGAGGAACACCUGAGGCGAAGGCGGGCUACUGGGCCGAUACUGACGCUGAUGCGCGAAAGCCAGGGGAGCGAACGGG
rnacentral:rRNA from 1 species